GUUGCAUUUUUUUUUCUUUUUUGAUAGGACAAUAGUUGAAUGAUUCUUUGAAUUCUAAUUCUACUCAAGUAAAUAGCACUAUCAGUAUCACUUCUUCAAAAACUAUGGAGAAAAAAUUUAACCCUUCGUGGAGAUGUGACUAAACUUGAGAAAUUGAGAGGAUGAUGUAAUUAAAAAUAGAUAUGUAAUUUUUGUGGACAAGA
rnacentral:misc_RNA from 1 species